ensembl:lncRNA
CCUAUUGUCACCCUAGCAGCGGAUCCACAUCUCGGGUUGGCUGCCUUUAGUGUGGCUUGGAAUGCGGUAUUCGGUUCAGCCACUCCUGAUGCUGAGCCUGUUAAAGAACUUGGACUUCAGAAGAGCCAAAAUCUCCUGUUCUCAUCCCCUUUGGUUAUCUCGCUUCCCACAGACCACCAGGGUCACUAGGAAAUGGAGCUCGCUAAUUUAGGGUCGCUGUGACAUGGGAGAGACAUAGUCCAUGGGAGCUCAUAAUCUAACGAGAGACGGGUUUAUGGCAAACAAUUACAGUGUGGGUGCGGUCACAGAGAUGAGAAUAAAGUGCUUUGAUCACAUGAAGAAGUCAGUGCAGGGGAACGGAGGAUGACGGCACAGAAGGCAAAGCUAACCAAUCAACACGUAUCAACAGACACAUCUGUCUGUGCUGCUCUCAGAGGUGGUCAGAGAACCACCUUCUGGAGGUGCAUUCAUAGCUAAUCAAAGGGCUAAGAAGAAGUAAUCGGGUGUGCUCAGUCAUUCAUGGACCAUCCGGGUCAACCUUCACCUGCUCUGAGGCUCAGGGAGCAUCAAACAAGUGAGGAGAUAAAAACGAAGCAAGAGGCUGGGUAGGCAGCAUUGCACCCAUGAACUUGGAGCUGUGGAACCUGUAUACAGUCAGACCAGCCAGAAUUCCAGCAUCAAUGGGGGACUGGCUCCUGAGGACCGUGGCCCUAGCUGCAGAGAUACUGGCAAUUGAAGGCUGCCUGAGCAGAGUCUCUCUUCUUUGGACAUUUGAUGCUGGUGAGCUACCCAGAUCCAAGCGAAUGAACCCACAGCCAUGUACACAUGAGCAACACAGUUGGAUUCUGUGAGUUAUUAAAAACAACAAAAAAAAAGAGGACAUGAAUUUGGCGGGGAACAUAUUAGGGUUCUCAGAGGGGAACUAGAAGAAGGUAGUAAGGGGUGGAUAUGGUCCAAAUGCACUGUAUUAUUGUAAAUAUUCUAUAUCACACAUAUAUGCGUAUAUUUAUUUUCCUAAGAGUAAAAAUCACAGCACUCAGCAGAAAGGAAAGAGAAGAGAUGGGCCUGACUCCAAAAGUGACUGUGUGAUCUGACAAGAGUCCACGCAAUAGAGAAGGGGCGUGUCCCCAUCACAGAUCCAACAUCCUGCCAGUUCUCUCUGCAGUUCUCCCUGGAGAGUAAGUAUGUGCAGUCUGUCCUGACAAAGACUGGGCCCCAAGUUGUAAGAAAAGGUUCACUUCCUGCCAAGUAAAAUAACCUUUCCCACAAAUUGAGCAACAUAAUAAAAAAGGAGAGAGAGAGAUUGCAGCCUAGAAGAGAACGCUAGGAAGAGAGGCUGGUUUCUGCAGUUAGAGGUGCUGUAGGGUCAAAAUUAAUGCUGUAUCUUAGACCAUCCUUUCAGUCUACAAUACUGCUCCUAAUUGUUAGUAUGAGCAAAAGGAAAUAAUCAGUACUGUUUUAAUAUCCAAAAGAGAAGGUUUACAGGGGUGAUGAUAGAAUACUGAAGCAAAUAUUUUAUAGUGAAGCUACCCAUUGUUUUUAUUUGUUGGUUGAUUUGUUAUAAAAUUUCAUUUCUGUAUGUGGGAGCUAAAAGCAUCCAAGUUGAAGUGAUAUCUUCAAGGCUUUUUUUCCCCUCCUGUUUUUAAUAAUUUUUCACUUUGUCUUAGUUUGAUUACUUGAACAUUGUUAAGUCAUUCUUAUUAAAAUACUAUUGGCACUGGGUGUAUCUUAGUUGGAGAGUGCUUACCUAAUAUCCACAAGACCUUGGGGGUUUAUACCUGCAUAAACAAGGAGCGGUGGCGAACACCUAAAAUCCCAGCACUCAGGAGGUAGAUGCAGGAGGAUCAAAGGUUCAAGGUUAUCCUCUGCCACAUUGGGAGUUCAGGACCAAUCUGGGAUAUAUGAGACUUUCUUUAAAAAAAAGAAAAAGUACAUCAAUAGUGUACAUGAGGCUCUGAGGCCCUGUUUUCAACACAGAUGCACACACACAUGUACACGCACACACUCAUUAUGACACUGAGAAAGGCAAUGGCUUCUACUGAAAAUAAAUUAUCUUCCAACAAUACAGUUUUUACUGCUGUGAAUGAAUUUUAUUUAUUGUCCAGCCAGCUAUGCUCUGGCAACCUUACCAUUAACUCCAGCAACCUAGAAUGUAGGAUUAUGUUAUGAGGAAGAGAGGGCAAAUUAACAAGAUGGGACUGAAUGAAAAGCUUAAAUAUUAUUUAAAUAGUCAAAACGUUUCCUGAGACUGUAAC